UAUUAUGAGAGUUUGAUCCUGGCUCAGGACGAACGCUGGCGGCGUGCCUAAUACAUGCAAGUCGAACGCUUCUUUCCUCCCGAGUGCUUGCACUCAAUUGGAAAGAGGAGUGGCGGACGGGUGAGUAACACGUGGGUAACCUACCCAUCAGAGGGGGAUAACACUUGGAAACAGGUGCUAAUACCGCAUAACAGUUUAUGCCGCAUGGCAUAAGAGUGAAAGGCGCUUUCGGGUGUCGCUGAUGGAUGGACCCGCGGUGCAUUAGCUAGUUGGUGAGGUAACGGCUCACCAAGGCCACGAUGCAUAGCCGACCUGAGAGGGUGAUCGGCCACACUGGGACUGAGACACGGCCCAGACUCCUACGG
rnacentral:rRNA from 1 species